GAUGAAGCAAAUCACACCGGGAUACUAUGAUGAUGUCAUCACUGAUGGACUCAAAACAGAUCGUGAGACAGUGGACACACUAGAUCGUUAUGAUGAUGUCAUCAUUAUUGGACAGAACUUUCAAGGUGUAACAAAGGGAGAUCAGGAGGAGUAUGAUGAUGUGAAGAACAGCAAUGAAGAUGAGAGAAACCUGUUAGACUAUGAUGAU